AUUGAACGCUGGCGGCAUGCUUUACACAUGCAAGCCGAACGGUAACAGGGGAGCUUGCUCCCGCUGACGAGUGGCGAACGGGUGAGUAAUGCAUCGGAACGUGCCGAAUAGUGGGGGAUAACGCACCGAAAGGUGUGCUAAUACCGCUUACGCCCUGAGGGGGAAAGUGGGGGACCGCAAGGCCUCACGCUAAUCGAGCGGCCGAUGUCGGAUUAGCUAGUUGGUGGGGUAAGGGCUCACCAAGGCGACGAUCCGUAGCGGGUCUGAGAGGAUGAUCCGCCACACUGGGACUGAGACACGGCCCAGACUCCUACGGGAGGCAGCAGUGGGGAAUUUUGGACAAUGGGGGAAACCCUGAUCCAGCCAUGCCGCGUGUCUGAAGAAGGCCUUCGGGUUGUAAAGGACUUUUGUCCGGGAGGAAACCCUGAUCGUUAAUAGCGGUCGGGACUGGCAGUACCGGAAGAAUAAGCACCGGCUAACUACGUGCCAGCCGCCGCAGUAACAC
rnacentral:rRNA from 1 species